rnacentral:rRNA from 2 species
UGGGGAAUAUUGCACAAUGGAGGGAACUCUGAUGCAGCGACGCCGCGUGAACGAAGAAGGCUUUCGAGUCGUAAAGUUCUUUUAUAUGGGAAGAUAAUGACGGUACCAUAAGAAAAAGCCCCGGCUAACUACGUGCCAGCAGCCGCGGUAAUACGUAGUGGGCUAGCGUUGUCCGGAAUCACUGGGCGUAAAGGGUUCGCAGGCGGAAAUGCAAGUCAGGUGUAAAAGGCAGUAGCUUAACUACUGUAAGCAUUUGAAACUGCAUAUCUUGAGAAGAGUAGAGGUAAGUGGAAUUUUUAGUGUAGCGGUGAAAUGCGUAGAUAUUAAAAAGAAUACCGGUGGCGAAGGCGACUUACUGGGCUCAUUCUGACGCUGAGGAACGAAAGCGUGGGUAGCAAACAGG